GACGAACGCUGGCGGCGUGCCUAAUACAUGCAAGUCGAACGCUUCUUUUUCCACCGGAGCUUGCUCCACCGGAAAAAGAGGAGUGGCGAACGGGUGAGUAACACGUGGGUAACCUGCCCAUCAGAAGGGGAUAACACUUGGAAACAGGUGCUAAUACCGUAUAACAAUCGAAACCGCAUGGUUUUGAUUUGAAAGGCGCUUUCGGGUGUCGCUGAUGGAUGGACCCGCGGUGCAUUAGCUAGUUGGUGAGGUAACGGCUCACCAAGGCCACGAUGCAUAGCCGACCUGAGAGGGUGAUCGGCCACAUUGGGACUGAGACACGGCCCAAACUCCUACGGGAGGCAGCAGUAGGGAAUCUUCGGCAAUGGACGAAAGUCUGACCGAGCAACGCCGCGUGAGUGAAGAAGGUUUUCGGAUCGUAAAACUCUGUUGUUAGAGAAGAACAAGGAUGAGAGUAACUGUUCAUCCCUUGACGGUAUCUAACCAGAAAGCCACGGCUAACUACGUGCCAGCAGCCGCGGUAAUACGUAGGUGGCAAGCGUUGUCCGGAUUUAUUGGGCGUAAAGCGAGCGCAGGCGGUUUCUUAAGUCUGAUGUGAAAGCCCCCGGCUCAACCGGGGAGGGUCAUUGGAAACUGGGAGACUUGAGUGCAGAAGAGGAGAGUGGAAUUCCAUGUGUAGCGGUGAAAUGCGUAGAUAUAUGGAGGAACACCAGUGGCGAAGGCGGCUCUCUGGUCUGUAACUGACGCUGAGGCUCGAAAGCGUGGGGAGCAAACAGG
rnacentral:rRNA from 1 species